AGUCAAGGCCCCCAGGUAUCUGGCACAACCCCGGCAAUAUGCAAAGCCUCCUCUAAUGAUGGUUGAAUCCAGGAGACCCCAACCGCUGUGAUGGAAACCUCGCCACCUCCAGAGGCAGCCGAUGACUCCUGGGGCAGCCCCACCCGGCUCAAAGGCAACCUGCUCCACAGAGCCAGCCCCAUCCCUAGGCUUGGAGCCAAACAGGAUUGCUCCUUCAUAAGAAAAAAAAAUCAGAGCUACAGAGUCAGCCGUCUUAAAAAGCUCCCUGCAUUCUUGCCUUGCCCAGCCAAGCAGCCUCAGGUCCCCCUGCUCCCUGUACCUGGCUGGGCUCAGAGCCACUCUCAACCACAUAUUUUUUAAGUCCUUUGUCCCAGACUAUGAACGGCAUGGAAACCAAUUGAGGACUGGGGGUGGCAGCUUGUGUGUGUGACUGCUUGAGCUCUGGAGGGUCCUUCUACUGUCAGCGCCUCCCCAUCCCCCACCCCCAUUCUUCUGUGAUGGCCCCGAGUGUCUGUAAUGCAUCCCUCAACUUUUCAUCUGCCAGUGAGACUCACAGAGCAAAUAGCCCAAGGAAAGACAAACUAUGGAUCAAACUCAUACUAAAGUAUAAAUGACUUUCUUCUCCCAGAUCAUUUUGAUAGUGAACAGGACAAUCAGCAUCAGGCCCACAGACGGCGAGGGAUGGAAGGAGUGGAGGAAGAGAACUUCCCACGGCAAGGGGAAAGGGAAGAAGGAAGAGGCUUGGAGGAAGGGGGACAAGGAAAACUUUUAUUUCCUUCUCAUCUGGCCUGGACUGAGCCAGCUCUUCCUUACCUGCUGCCCCAAACAGGGAGGCCAGCAUAGCCAGAGAGGGGGCCAGCGUGUGUCUGAUCCCAGGGGCAAUAUUAAAGUUUGCCUCAGUCCAGGGCGCCCAUCUGAAAAAUCAGGGCAAAAACAGGACUAAGAACAAAGGAGAAAAAGGCUAAGAGCAAGGGACCACACAGGAACUGAGAAAUGAUUUCUCAGCUAAGCGUCUGGCCUUUGGAGAUGCCUCCCUGCCCAUCUGUGUGGCUGGGGUCAGAGAACCCCCACCAGGAGGGUGAGGGGGAGUGAAGAAGGGUGAAGAAGAGACCUGGGGCUCUUCCCGGAGAGUGUGCGUGAGAGCCAGGGGCUGGCUGAGAGGCCACUGGCUUCCAGAUGUCCCAGCCUCCAUCAGGCCAGACCUACUCCUGCAGGCCAGGGUUGCAACCCCAUCAACAUGAUAUAGGGAGCCCGAGGGAAGCAGGACAAACUCUGCCUGAUGUUCCUUCCCUCCAUCAGCCAUCAAUCCCCCAGUACAAUGAGACGGUCCUCUCAGCUGUGCCCAGCCACAGAAACAGCCUCUGUGCCUUGGGAAAAAAUGAUGUUGGCGGGCUACACCCCAUUCACACUCAUGAAUCCACUCCAGAAGUCUGAAGACUUUUUCCCCAGGACAUCUAGCACAAUGUUGAAAAGUAUGGCCCAGACCCUAUCAGAAUAAUCCCAGCCCAUCAUAGCAAAAUUGGUGAAAACAAAAAAAAGGGAAAAAUGACAAAACAGCCAGAGGAAAAAGACAUCUAUUUUCAAAAGAUUAAUAAUAAGGCAAAUGGCUGACUUUUCAACAGAAGCAAUAGAAACCAAAGACAAUAGAGUGACAUAUUGAAAUUGCUGAAAGAAAAUUACUGCCAAUCUAGGGUUCUGUAUCUAGAGAAAAUAUCUUUCAAAAAUGAAAACAAAAUAAAUAUGUUUUUGGAUGAAAAAAAAAAAAAAA
rnacentral:lncRNA from 1 species